rnacentral:rRNA from 1 species
UGGGGGAUAUUGCACAAUGGAGGAAACUCUGAUGCAGCAACGCCGCGUGAGGGAAGACGGUUUUCGGAUUGUAAACCUCUGUCCUUGGUGACGAAAAAAAUGACGGUAGCCAAGGAGGAAGCUCCGGCUAACUACGUGCCAGCAGCCGCGGUAAUACGUAGGGAGCAAGCGUUGUCCGGAUUUACUGGGUGUAAAGGGUGCGUAGGCGGCACUGCAAGUCAGGCGUGAAAUAUAUGGGCUUAACCCAUAGACUGCGUUUGAAACUGUGGUGCUUGAGUGAAGUAGAGGUAGGCGGAAUUCCCGGUGUAGCGGUGAAAUGCGUAGAGAUCGGGAGGAACACCAGUGGCGAAGGCGGCUUACUGGGCUUUAACUGACGCUGAGGCACGAAAGCAUGGGUAGCAAACAG